UGUCGCGUGCUGACAGGUUAGAAAGCUUUGACCUAUACUUGUUUUUUCAGAACAUUUCAAAGGUUCACUUUUCUUUUCUUCUUUUUUUUUUUUUUAAGUAUAGAGAGGUUUAUUGCCAUGGUUCUCAUGUAAAUAAAGUCACGAGGAUUUAUUGCCAUCCUCAUGGCCGAGAAUAAGAGAAAGUGCUGCACAUCUCUACGUGAUGGAUAAAUUGCAAAAAUGACAUAUACAAUGAAAUGAGUCGGGUAGUAAAAGAUGUGCUGAAUCGCAUAAAAACAAAAAGAAAAAAACACCCAAUGCUCAUCAAUCAUCAAUAUGGCUGUUUAUAGAUUUUAUUUAACAAGAGCAUUGGAAAAAAAAUGGCUCAAAUGAUUUUAAAGUUUGCUGACCACUGGGAUAGGUAAAGAAAGUGUAAUUCAAAUUCAAGCUUCACACAAAAUGUUUCUUCUCUCGUUUACUGGAGCUAAAAGUUUAAAUAAUGCAGUGAAAUAAUGCUCCUGUCAGCAAUACGUGAUUUUCUUUUUUUUUUUUUAAUUAUUUUUUUGUUUUUAUGAGGGUUAUGUAAGGCCUCCAUGUGAAAUGUUGUUGGAUCAAUAGCUUUAUUCCAAACACACACAUCUCUGUCUCACUGUUUACGUCUGUCUGGAAAAAAAUAAAAAGAAAUUGUCCUAAAAUAACCAGGGCAUUUCCCAGAGGUCGUGUUACCUCGGUAAUGUUCGGGUUUAUUUCACAUAAUGCAUUAAUGCAACCUUUUUUUUUGUUUCAUAACUUAUUACUGAGUGGUUAUAAAAAUUUCAACCUGAUGUUUGUGUCGUCUUGGACAUCAUUAGGCCACCGGGGGAGGGUUCCUGCUGCGAAGCAGCACCAGCUUUAGGGAAAUGAGAUAUUGUUGCGGCUCUGACUCAUCCCGUCCCGGUUAGAGCACACACACGGCUCCCCACCCAGAGCUGCUGCCACCCUCAUCCAGUCUCACGCAGGGCAGAGACACGAUGAGGAGGCAGUUUCACCGCAGCUCUUAAAGGCAUGUUUCCACUGCCUUCGCCCAUCAUGACGAGCGCCGGGGAAACCACCUCGUCUGAACUUAUCUGCUGCUGAGUCGGUGAGAACAUGGUCAUAAGAUGAGGAGGCUGGCGACCGCAGGCUGUGGCGCUGGGUGUCGUGGUUAGCAGCUGCCGGUCCUCUGUGACCUAAACUGUGCUGCGGAAUUGCCUCUGGGAAUAAUCGGAUGAAGCGUUCAAAGGAAGAACAAAGCGGAGAGGUUUGAGCGGCAGUAGGCAAGACUUUAAUCGAUGCAUUGCAUCAGAUGACCAUAAAAACACCAGCUGGAGAUUAAUGCUGUUAACUCCCCCCGGAGCCUGAGUUUGUUUGGCUUGUUAACGGGUUUUUGGGCUCUGGGGCAGUUUUUUUUUUUUUUUUUUUGUCCUGUACAACACUCUUCAC